rnacentral:lncRNA from 1 species
UUUACUCUUUACUGAACCAAACUCUGAUGAGUUUCUUUAUUUGCAUUCUGAUAUCCAAGUGUUGUUUUCCUCUUUAGUCUCCAUUCCUUUGUCUCACUUUUCAUUCCUCUCUGGUUAGAGCAGCUUUAACUCAGCAAUCAAAUCAGGCUCUGAGGUGCAACAAAGUGGUUGCCAAGAAUCCAGAGCUUUCAGGUGAAGUAAACAAAAUGUAGUCCCUCAGCAGAGGUGCAUUCAUGUUCUCUCACCUGGAAAAUAUAUAACAGAAGCAUGAAUAGAAGACUAAUGUAAAGAGCUGCUCUUCUUUUGUGUCAGGAUUGCUGCUCUCAUAAGAAUGUUCUGUCUUGAUGGGGAAAAAGAUAUCCAGGAGACAAAGUAGUUCCCAGCAAAGUUGUUUCCCUGCUGUGUUUUCCUGGGACCUGUUCCAUGUUCUGAGGUGAGCUAGCUUUGAGUUUGCUGCAGUUGUAUU